CUUGACGUUAGAUGCUUUAACAUCGCUGUCGAGUACGAAUUCUAGUCGAAAAUACGCGAGAUAUCGAUUUUUCGCCAUGAUUUUAGCGUCGAGACCGAGAAAAAUCAUUCGAUCGGAACGUAACGUUGCCUUCAUGACACAUAUAAGCACACAUCUCGCUUACGGAGUAACACACAAACCGUCUCGGCGACAUGAUCGAUCUAAAUGAAUAGGAAUGACUCAAAACGCCAAGAACGACGUCGCCAUGCAAAACUCUAGCAAUAUAUGGAAAACUGCAAGAGCGAAGCGGCUAGACGGCUUUUCCAUCGCGUAAUGGGCGUGUACGCGUCUCAACCACGUUCGAAUGAAAAUUUCGGACUGAACAACGUGUCGCAACGCCGAAAUAACGGCACGAAUUUGACGGCACGCAUAUCUUGUCACGUUGGAAAGCCAGCCAGCCCUUCGACAGGCGAUGAAACUAACGUAUUGCGACGAGAAUGAGAGACGAAGAAUAUUACCCAGGCACCAGUGGCACGUCGUACCGGAAAAGGAAGAGUUAGCCAUUCAGCGCCACGUACGAACAUCUCCGGCUUCCUGUCGAUUCUCGAAGCUCGAUUCUCGCAGCUUCGAGAUUCGAUUAUGGCGGCGUAUAUGUUUGAAGAUGAUGAGAAUGAUAUUUCGAUGCAACAUGUAUCAAGACAAUAAAAGUGAAGACAUAAACCGCCAGUCAUAAACUGAUAUCAAAUUACAUAUUGAAGUUCGAAAUAAGUGCUAAAUAAAUUUUUCUCCCAUUGACUA